UACGUAGGGGGCUAGCGUUGUCCGGAUUUAUUGGGCGUAAAGAGCGUGUAGGCGGCCUGGUAGGUCUGCUGUGAAAACUCGAGGCUCAACCUCGAGAUGUCGGCGGAAACCAUCUGGCUAGAGUCCGGAAGAGGAGAGUGGAAUUCCUGGUGUAGCGGUGAAAUGCGCAGAUAUCGGGAGGAACACCUGAGGCGAAGGCGGGCUACUGGGCCGAUACUGACGCUGAUGCGCGAAAGCCAGGGGAGCGAACGGG
rnacentral:rRNA from 1 species